CCAGGUUGAACCUAACGAGUGCAUUCAGUUUCAUGUCCAAAAUAAGUUGAAAUUGAAAGGACGUACAAUCGGCGAGAAAUGAAGUUCCUUUACUUAGAACUUGAAGCCCUUCUUGGCCUAACUCUAAUCCCUAAUCAUGCGCAACACAUGGACUUGAAGUCCUGCUUUCAGGAUUGGAUGCUCUUUUGAGACAGCUUUAAAUAGAACAUAGAGCUCUGCCCUUCUGGCUGUCCUAACGAGUUCACUGCCUUAAUCCCUUAAACAGAACAGUGAAUCGUAUAGCAUUAGUAAUUAUUUAUGUCUGCUAGUCAGGAAUGGAAUCGGAUGCUACGAAUACGAAUUAUUGAAUGGGGGGAAUUUUCGAUAUUAGACAAAACAAAUAGGGCACUAGAACGCUAUUCUUCCUCCUUCCCCGCUUAGGCCUUACUUAGGGGCUUCAAACAUUAGCAGUAAGACUUCCGCAAGGUAGCGAAAGAAGGAGCAGCAGUGGAAAUCACAGUAGUUGUAGCAAAAUCAUUGGCACGCUAGGCCCCUUCUCUAAUCUAAGAAAAAAUAGGGUAGGCAACAAGGUUAUCAGACUCGAGAGUUUACUCAGACUCGUGGGAGGUCUAUAAACUCGACUCGUAAACCCGACUCGUAGACUCGUAAGAGUCUACUUCAGAUAAAAAAUUUAAUAAAAAAUAUUCAUAUAUCAAUUUCAUAUUAUUUUACAAUUUUUUUAUUAUGCUGAAACAUCAAAUCAAUAAAAAAUAAUUUAAUCUUAAUUCCAAUUUUAUUUCAGCCACUUUGAAUAAAAAAAAUCUCCAAAUUAGCUUAAAAAUAACUCCCAAACCUAAAUCCAAUCAGCAUAAAAAUCCCCAAACCCAACCCAAUCUAGAAAUAAUUCCCAACCCUAAACUCAAUAAAAUAAAGUUAAAAAUUCCCAAACCCAACCUAAAAAUAACCUAACCCAAUUAAGUUAAAAACUCCAACCCAACCCAGCCCAAUCAGGUUCAAAAUUACUGACCCAACCCAACUAAAAAAUCACUCUCAACCCUAAAUCUAACCUUCCCCCAAUUAACCCACAAACCCACCUCACUCUCAACCCUAAAUGAAGAAAACGCGACAGGGCGACGACAACGUGGCGCGGCGAGGCACGACGACAGCGAGACGCGACACGGUGAGGCACGACGAGGCGAGGAACGGUGAUAGUGAAGCGUGACGACGAACAUCUCAAUCGUUUUGGGAUUUUUUCAUAACUCGUUGACUCGGCCUCGAACUCGCGAGUUUACACCGAGUUUAACGAGUCUGUCCGAGUCUACACCGAGUUUGCCAAAAAAACGAGUUUACUCACGAGUUCACUCGUCAGGCACCAGUCAACUCGUAAACUCAAACGGGUUUAAGGGUUCACCCGCGAGUUUGAUAACCUUGGUAGGCAGGCUACUUGAAUGGACAUCUGAGAUGGCAUUAAGCCGAGCACUAAACAGAUAUGGGCUGCUAGUAAGGAGGGCAGUGAAGCCAUGUAGCAUAAGUGAUGCCUUCCCAAGGUCUGGUCUCUUCGGGACCCUUAAACUUGAGGGUUGGAUAAGCAAACCUGACCAAAGAAUCACUAUUUCGAUUGAAGCUCUGCUGCGGUGACCCAAUUCUCAUAUACAGAUAAGCAAGAAUGCUUUUUCUGACACGGUUGCGUCCUCACGAAUGCCAAACUUCGUAGCUCAGCUCAUCUGGGAUGACCAAGCUCCAGGGAGGUUUUCUUGAUGACAUGGCGGGCUCCAAGCUACACCCUUCUCUGCAACCAAAUCAUAGAUCUUCCAGAGAAGACAAAAGCGAAUAGACCAUUACCCUACCUGGAGCUAUAGCUACCCCUAACCCUUAGCCGGCUGUUCGCCAGACUAACAAGUGGAGGAGGGAGUUCCAAAGCAACAGUAACUCAUGCAGUAGACAAAGUAAUUUCGACUCAAAGAU
rnacentral:lncRNA from 1 species